GAUGGAAGAACAAGGAGGCCACGUAUGAGGACGGAGUGAUGAGGUAGCGAAGGGAAGAAGAGAGAAGGGGAGAGAAGGAGAGACAGAGAGAGGCAACCAGGCACAGCAUAGCAUAGCGUAGCAUGGCACGGCAUAUCCAUAGACAUAUACACUGUGUCUAUGGGCAUAUCGACGAGAUCCGACAGCGGCCGAGAGCCACCGAACACGGCCGACUCGGACCCUGCGCGCUCAACCCAAACCCGAGAAAGCAUAGUUGCAUUUAAACUGCCAUCCCACUCAGGAGGUCUCUCUCUUCCUGAGUCCUGAGCGCCGUCUCAGGACGAGUGCGUUACGUAAAUUGCGCGCACCGAUGCGUCUUUGUGAUUUCGUUCCCGUCUCGUCGUUUGCGUUUCGUUCGUCACUUGGAAGAAAAAAGAUGAAGAGAAAAACCCAGGAGAAAGCGAUGUUUCCGGAGGAAAGCGGUGUCCGGGGGUUGACCCGGUCGCGCACAGGGCACGUCUGACGUCAGAAGCGCUUUAACUUGUUGGAUUCGACGCGAGUGCAACGCGAAGGUGUCGGGACGUCGACAUCGACGGUGCGGACGGAUGAGCGAUGCCCUCCCACACACCAGCUUCUCGCGGUGGUCUCUCUUUCGGACGUCGACGAUGGACACCAAGGGCACUGGCUCCUGUCGGGCUUCCGGUACCGCGGUACGCGUCAUCCCGUCCGUCACGCGUUUUUCCACCGCGUUCUGUCGUCACGUCGUUCGCUUCGUCAUCCGCUUUGUACGCGACACUGUCACUGCGUGCUCGCUUCGGUUCCGUCACACGGUGGGUUUCUUUCGCGCUCAUGUUCCCCGUGCGGUCAUGUGACGGGGCUCUAUGGGUUCAACGCCGCGCGGGUUCCUCGCUCCGCUUCGUGACGCUGUCGCUGUCACCUCGGCCACUGACAGCCAGCUGCGAUAUUCCGUGCGACGUUAACGGGAGCGCUCGGAGUAAAUGCGAAACUAAAUAGCACAGCAACAAUUUUUCAAAUCAAUUAUUUUUACACGUUGCGUAUUUUUUAUUCCGCGUUUUUGUUCUCGGCACUUUAAUUUCUUUUUUUUUUUAAAUUGACAACGCUCCCUCAUUUGAUUAUCAUCCGUGAAGAGCCAGAUAGUUCUCUUGGAUUUGGAGUAAGCUCUUGGAACGUCACUUUGGAUAUGCUGUUCUGUUGCGAUACAUAUGAUGACAUUAAGAGUAAAAAAAAGUGGAACAGGAAUACCUAAUACGCAUACACUCUGAUCCAGCGCAUUGGAUAUAUAUAAUAAUAAGGUGGCGUAGCAAUCGUCGAGUGCAGUAACAUUUUAGAAGUAAGGUUGGCCAUCCUGACCGAAAGUUGCUGAAAGUGAAGCUAGUGAAGCAGACGACGAGUCGCCAUCUUCUACGUGAAUUUUGUUCAGACGUUUGGUAUCCGAAUUUUA